rnacentral:piRNA from 1 species
UCUCUGCUCCAAAGAAAGAUGUC